rnacentral:rRNA from 1 species
UACGGAGGGGGCUAGCGUUGUUCGGAAUUACUGGGCGUAAAGCGCGCGUAGGCAGACCUGCAAGUCGGGGGUGAAAGCCCGAGGCUCAACCUCGGAACUGCCUUCGAUACUGCGGGUCUCGAGUCCGGGAGAGGUGAGUGGAAUUCCUAGUGUAGAGGUGAAAUUCGUAGAUAUUAGGAAGAACACCAGUGGCGAAGGCGGCUCACUGGCCCGGUACUGACGCUGAGGCGCGAAAGCGUGGGGAGCAAACAGGG